AAUAAAGUGCCUGAUAAAAGGAUUAAACUGUAAAUUUAAAUAUAAUUAAAAAUUCUUUAUUA
rnacentral:tRNA from 1 species